rnacentral:rRNA from 2 species
AUUUGGAGAGUUUGAUCCUGGCUCAGGACGAACGCUGGCGGCGUGCCUAAUACAUGCAAGUCGAGCGGAGCUUAUCCUUCGGGGUAAGCUUAGCGGCGGACGGGUGAGUAACACGUAGGCAACCUACCCUCUAGACUGGGAUAACUACCGGAAACGGUAGCUAAUACCGGAUAAUUCCU